AGGGAGAGUCAGUGGGCGGGAUGUGCGCAGAGAGCUGCUAACUGGCCUGGGAAAUGAUGAGCACAGGAGAGGAGACGGACGUGCAACAAACGGCACUUAGCGGGCCGUUGUGAAGUGCCUUUACCGCUGUGGCAGAACGGUACCGCCGGUGUUGGUGCCCACCUGGGAAAUUCCUUUGCCUCCGGGAACUUCGGCUCAGCACCACGUUGUGAUAAAUGUGCUGAGCGUCACCUCUGACUUCUGCUAAAGCCUCGGGACCACACGGGACAGCGGACACCAACGAGGUGUUGCUGGCAAAAUGUGUGAGGAGCAGCUGAGGUGCCUGGGUGUGCUCAGCCCAGAGCAGAGGAGCUGAGGGGAGGCCUCAUGGCGGCUGCAGCUCUUCACAGGGAGCGGAGGGGCAGCGCUGAGCUCUGCUCUGUGUGACAGCGACAGGGCCCGAGGGAACGGCAUGGAGCUGCGUUAGGGGAGGGGCAGCUGGGAGUGAGGGAAAGGGGCUGCGCCAGAGGGCGGUGGGCAUGGAACAGCCUGCCCAGGGCAGUGGGCACGGCCCCGAGUGCCGGAGCUCAGGGAGCGUUUGGACAGCACUCUCAGACACAGGGUUUUGGAUUUUGGGAGGUCCUGUUUGGACUCCGUGAUCCUUAUGGUUCCCUUCCAACUUGGGAUGUUCCAUGAUGCUGUAAUUCCAUGACUCUUAGAGGCCUCAAAUUGCUGCUGAGGGCAUUAGGGCCUGGUAAGCAGGAGCUCCAGGACUCUUGUUCAGGGAGCCCAGGAACAGCAGCAAGCAGGCGCCUAUCGAUGGGCACUUUGUUCAGGAAAAGACAGGCAGAGCAGAUGGGCAAUGGUUUCUUUCAUUCUCAUUCAUUCAUUUCUCCUCUGUUAUGUCAGUCACAUGCAAAUAUAAGACUAACUGUUCAUGGUGGGUGAGGGCGUAUUUGAACCUACGCUUCUCUUGCAACUCUGAGGGACAGUAAUUAGUAGGUUUCUUGUAGCCUGACUGGUUUGUUGCUCUGAUGCGUUAGGCAGUGACAAGUGUAAGACUAGAUAAGGACAUAGCAUGACACAGGCUUAGGUAUUUUGUGCAGCUGCAUGGUGUGGAGGAGUGGCCCUUGGCCAGGUCUCACGUACAGCUUUGCAUGUAGCACUCAUAUCAGCGGCUGCAGCCCCAAAAUGAGCUGAGAUGGGGUGUGCAGUGCAGCCAGCACCAGGACACUCCACCACAACACUCAGCUUAUAUAAAGGUGAUGCUAGCGGGGUUUAUCUCUCUGUGCUCUCUGAGCUGAAGUUGUGGAUGCUGCCUGCUCCAGAACUCUGUAUCUCUGAGGACCUUUGGGGCCAGCCAGCCCAUCCCCAGGACUCCUGGGCCUGUGUGCCCACGUGUGUCUGUGGGUCUGUGCGUGCCCAUGUGUGUCUGUACCCUUCACGUUUCUGCCCUCUACUUCCAUCAGUGACUCAUGUGAAAAAUAAAUUGAACGUGGCUUGUACUAGCAGAGUUGUUCCCUUUGAGUAACACUUAAAAUAAAACUUUGCUAACUUAGAUCAAUGAACCUUCAGCACGGUGAAAUUAUACCCGCAAUUGCAGGUUAAGGUGUGAUGUGUUUACAGGACAUUCCUAGCGAUCCUUCUUACAUGUUUUGGCAAAAGUGGCACUUGGAUACAAGAACUAUUUGCUUGCGAAACACAGGCAUGAGGUAUGUGGUAUCAGCAGCUUGAUUCCCAUUGUGUAGCACUCGGGCCCUGCCUGGAUCACCAUCCCAGCUGACACCACCAGGCCUUCAGGCUCAGACUGCACGCCCUGGUGAGGAGGCACAACAGGUUGUUGGCCUCUGCAGACAAGGCCGGAAGAACCUCACACCAAUGAGCUACACAGCUCGCUUCAUUCCUACAGGUGAAGGAAAUAAAUUGCCUGCAGUUGAGCUAAAUGUGUUUCUAACUAUUUGCAGGCUUCCAGGGUCUGGUCUGCCUAAUUAAGCUAUAGGAAGAGGAUAGAAAUUCACAUGAUACACAUAUAACCAAAUAUAUAUACUGGCACCUUUUGAACGCCAGAUGUGAAAUGCUACCUAAGAAACCUGUGUUAUGUUUGAUCUGGAGUGGACAAAGUGGGUGAAUUUUAUCUCCACCUCAUGCAUUUUUUGUUAGUUUGACAGAGAGUGCAGAGGAGCUGACAGCAUACAGCCUGCCACAGAGAUCUCUGACCAGCGGCUGAAAGAAGAGAGAAAAAAUUGUUUUGAUUUGAGGAGCUGAAACAGUUAAAGCAGAGGGGCUAAAGCAGCAACGUGAACCUGACCUUCUUUCAAUUUCCACCAUUAUGGCAUUGGCAACUUGAGUCCGAUCUUCCCAAGGUGAAUCGGACCUAAAUUCUGGGAAAUAAUAAUAAAAAAAAUCCCUACCUCUAAAUCUACUGCAUUAUUAGAUAGGUGGCUGCAUAGAAGUAUAACUCGGAACCCUGCAAUCUAAAAGUCAUCGGUUUCUUUUCACUUUUACUGACUGCAUGUGGGCUUUUCCUAACUUUCUUUGAUGUGGGUAGGUCACCAUGGAUGACAGAGGUCAGGACGCUGCUGAACAACAGGCACAGGUCAUACAGAGACUUGGGGAGACAUGAACCACAGUAAUCGGUUCUGAAGUCAUCGGUAUUCAGCCCCUGUUUGGGCUUUCCAAACUGUGAAACUGUGGUUUCCAAAGAGCCUGAGAGAACUGAGGCACCAGGUUGAAAGUAAGAUUCUAGGCCCAUAUGUAUGGCCUAGGUUAUCGGCCUGGAGGCUGACACAGCUGCUCAUUUCAUCAGAGAAAGUCUCACUAUGGAUAGGCUGUUGGAAGAUGCUGUUAGCUCGCUCUCUCUCAAUAGAGCAGUACUGGAGAUGGGAUACUUCCUACUAACCACAGUAAUUCACCUCCUUCGGUGCCGUGGAGCCAGAUGAGUUUCACAUGGUAAUGGGAAGGACAUUUCUUAAAGCAUAGCAUUCUGGUAAUGUUUCUUCACUGAUUUCUUUGACACACACAUAGAAGUUUAUUAUCUGAGUAGCACAGUGGCACUACACUGAUAUGUUCAGUCUGUCCUAAAAUCUCUUAAGUGCUAUGAGAAUAAAUCUGCUGCUCUUCUUACUGUUUGCAGUUGAUAGUAUUGCAUGGGUUUCACACUUUCUCCUGUGGUGUUAUUCAGUGAGUCACUCUGAAGAUAACAUAAACUUCAGCUAUGGUUUAUGGAACUUUCUGCUCUCAGUAAGAAGCACAUAUAAAUAUCCUGAAGUAAUUCAUUAAGAAAAAAGAAGUAUUAGAAGAUGGUUCAUAAGACUAGGGAGUUCUAAGGAGUGAAAGAAAACAGAAACCCAAGCCAGUGGUACAGUUUUAUUAAAGUGCUGAGCAAAUAUUCACCUGACAAUACGGUGACAAAACCUGUUCACUUUUGCACUAUGAAUAUAGAGACAGUUCUGCAGGAGCUGCUGAGCAGGUCUAUGCCUGCCUGUAUCAGUGGAAACUGGGAUUAAGUGCUAGGAGUGCUGAAUGCUGAUGAAGACAAAGCUGCAUACAGCCACUCUUAAUAGUGUAAACUAAUACAUUUUUCAGUAUCACUGAAUUUGCUUACGAGAGACUCAAUAGCAAAGAGCAUAUUUGUUCUUGUUGGUAAUGCUGACACUGAUUCAAGCAGUCUCUUGUCUGACAAAGGCUUGCUGCACACCUCUUCUCAAAACUGUGAUUAAGGUCGUGGCAAUCAUACUGUUCAGAUUCUGUUGUAAAUGACAUUGGAUAUAGGAUAGUUUCUGGCUGCAGUGAAAAAAAAAAAAACCCAACAAAUUGUAAGGUCAGAAGCACAAGUCUUAUGCCUAUAACACUGAAGACGAUAAUAAAAAUGUGGUUUUGAAAGAAGAGUUAUAAAAAGUAUCCUCAGGCAUGGAAGUAACGAUUAUGUACUGCUAGCAAUUUGCAUUCUGCUAAGUUAGAGAAGGGCACUUCUGACAGAUGAUUGUUGAACCCCCAUCAAAGUCAUAGGGAAUUAUGUAAGAAAUAUCAAUGUAGCCAUUUUCAGUGUGCUACAACGGUGUCUGCAUGUCAAGAAGUAGGGCUGAGGCAACCGCAUCCAGGUUUUCUGUGUGAGAUAACAGAAGCAGACUUUGCAGGACUGGAAACCACCUGUAUGUUUCUGCACUUAAACAAUUGUGCUCAGUUUGUGUAACCCUAACAGCUUCCUUUAACCUUCUGUUCUGUAGGGCUCAGCAUCUCACAGGUAAAUUAAAAAGCUAAACAAAAAUGAGAACUUUUUGUUGAAGCCUGAUUAAAUUUCACAGUUUGUGUGUAAUGAGAGUACUGCUUUAUUUUACGCCUCCAGCAAUCUGCAAUGUCUUUUCUCUCUAUGUUGGUUUGCGUGCAGCUCUCAUGACUGUGUUACCAGAAUGCCAACAUGUCUCUGCUUGGAAGAUACAGGCACAGAUUGCAUAUUCUUCAGCUUUGAUUCAGCUCCAGCUUCAGACUUGAGAACAGACAGAGCGCAGUUUGCCUGGAUUCCAAUACAGAAAAGCCACAGACUUGUGGAACACUAUUAAGAGAGGGGUGGCAAAUUCUCAUUAGGGAUGUGUUAGCAGGAACUGAGGUGGUUGAGAGAGAAACUAAUGUGUCAUAAAACCUUCACCAAAUAGAGGGAAAUAUGUUGGACAAAAAUUGUAUUUAUUGCUUAACACAGUCUUUGUUUGUUAUAAGUUGCUGGAAGUUUUUGUUUGUUUGUUUUUCUGGUACAGCGUUUGGAAUGCCUGGAGCUCUUUACAGGCAAAGAAGAGAGGAAGAUUGUAGGAAAACCUAGGAGGAGUUGUAAGCUUAUUUCAGUUUCUGGUAUUAUUAAUGAUUUCCUGUAUGCAUUUCACAAUUAAUCCUCUUAGGAGAUGUCCUUGUCUGAUUAAGGUGAAGAUGUUCCUUAUGUUGUUCAGGUAGAUGUGUACAAACACUGUGGGGGAAGGGAAGCUGCACAACUGAAUAAUUAAAAUCCACGGGUCCUACAUAUACAUAUCAUCACAGAUCUGCUUGAGGCAUUUUAAUGGCUCUGCAAAAUGGAUGCAAGUGAAAAAACCCCUCAGCAGAAUGAACUCAUGGAAGCAGUCAGUAAAGAACAGAAACACCCUAAUGGAGAUAGAAACACUUCUAACUUCUCAAACCCAUUUUUCCAGAAGGAGCUACAUCAUAAUUUCAAAGGUAGGCCUGGGAACUAAAAGUCAUGGCUCUUAACAUUAAAGCCUGGGAACUAUAUGUUUGCUUAAUGAAUGUUUUAUAAUCAGUAAGUUGCUUCACAGCUUGCCAACUAUCAGGCCAUUCCUGUUCACACAGAUAAACUACCUAUACCUGAUCCACAAGCCUGUCAUCUGCCCCACUGGACACCUCUCUUUGCCAACCAUCUCCUCCCUCAAAAUCUUGUUAGCGCUGUGUUAUACUCAGUGCAGUUGCUUCCAGCCUGAUGUUUUCUGUGUCUAGAUCAGACUUACAGCAAGAAUGGCACUUUCUUCCCAAAUGUCUGUUUACUGAAAAUGUAGUAGUAUCUAUCUCCACAAUCUUGCCGUUUUAGACAUCACAGUUACUGAAGUACAAUUAACUCAGUAAAGUGUUAGGAAAACACAGGAAUAUCCAAUCUGUUCUACCAAAGUACUGAACUGAACUCAUGCACUCAUGGCCUUGAGAUGCCAGGAUGGGGGCAGGGGAAGCAGUGUGCGGGGUACAGUGCUCAGCCUGGUGCUGGGCCACAGGACUUAUGUUUGCCAGGGGCACCUCCUCACUUUGGGGCUGCUGCAGGUUGCUUUAAUUGAUAACUCAUAUUUAUAUGGCAUCUGAUACAUGGUCUGAGAGAGAGGAACCGUUUUAAACUAUCGGAGAGGAGAUACAGAUUAGAUAUUAGAAGGAAAUUUUUUACUCAAAGGGUGGUGAGGUGCUGACACAGCUGCCCAGAGAGGCUGUGGGUACCCCUUCCCCAGAGGUGUUCAAGGCCAGGUUGGAUGGGGUCUUCGGCUGCCUGAUCUGGUGAAGGCAACCAGCCCAUUGCAGAGGGUUGGAGCUGGAUGAUCCUUAGGGUUCCUUCCAACCCAAGCAAUUCUAUGAUCCUAUGAUUCUAAGAUACCUAAGAAUCUGCCUUUAGGUGAGAGUAAGGCUGACAUUAGGUGAGAUUAAGAGCCAAAUCCAAAAAUGGCAAUUUAUUCUACUAUGAAACAAGUGAAGUAUUCUCAUGCUUUCUUCUUUGUCAUUUGCCAGUCUUAGAUCUCACUCACACUUUCCAUUUGUCAUUCGGAAUGACUCCUUGCGGGAUUCCAUACAUUUUUCUGUAUGCUGAAGUCUACCUCCUACAUCUUCUGUUUGGGAAGUGCCAGUGCAUGAAACAAUGGAGAUUUCAGCUAACAAAGAAUGCUCUUUGUCUCAGUGUUGUGACCCUGCCUCACAAAGGACAGAGAAGACAAUGAUACGUGAAUGUAAUUGCUGAGCCAGGAUGGGAAGAUAACUCUCCCUGCACUUUUUACAGAAAUUAAACAAAGAAAUUCUGUGUCUGCUAGGUGUCAUUGAGUUUCACCUAUCUGGAAGAAUUGCCCGGACAAAUGAGGCAUGAAUAUAAUUGCUGAGCUUGAAGUGACUAGAUUAAGCCAGUAUAAUCUGAUAACACAGCUUAUGUUUAUUUUCUUGUAAAUUAUUUGGGAGGAAGGUUGGAGGGUUUACUGAAGCUGCAGCAGCAACUGAUACUUUCCUUUGGGAUGGAGAACUUCAAAGAGACUGGGCCUCAGGCUGUAUGUUUAGCAAAACCAUUGCCAGUUUAUACUGAUGAUCUAAUACAAAACAUCAUAAAGAGCGUUAGAUGAUAGCCCAGUGAGGAGACCACUGCAUGUGGUCAGUUGAUAGAAUGUAGAAGCUGAAGCCCAAGGAGAACUGCUACAUACCAGAGCUAAACUGUUAGCCACAGACCCAGCAUGCCAACCAGGCAGAAUGAGUGACCUGCUCCUCUAGGAUUACUGAUAAUGGAGUGGUCUAAACUCAACUGAUGGAGUGAGUCUCUGAUCUGUGUAUGACAUGUAUGCUGGCAGAACAGGAAUCAUUAUCCACCUGCUACACCCACCCUUCCACGCGGACUAAUACAACCAGAUCAUUUAUCACUAAGUACAGAACCACACCACCCAAUAUCCCUGUGACCAAUGGAGGAACAAUGUAGAUCAGGGGGAACUUUCAUUCCAAAAACUGACAGCUGUCCUGUAUCCUUACUUCUAGGGCAAAGGCUUGUCUUAGGCUUUGGAACUGCAAGUAGAUCCCAGGGCCUUGCACCCAAAAUCCAGCUCCCAUGCUGACAGUUGGAGCUUCAUCUUGUUUGCACUGGAGGAUUGAGUACCUCCAGGGCAGGAAGUCCUCCCUCCCCCCAUGGGAAUUCCUAAGCUUUCCACAUUUUUGACAAACCCAGAAGAUCCCCCUACAGCUGGCUGUUUUUGAGGUUUCUCCAUUUGUAGAAGUCACAUGUACUCUCAUUUUUUUUUUUUUUUUUCCCCUAGAGACAGGCGAUGAUAUUAUUUGCAACUCUCAAAGCUGUUUAUUCUUCUGAAGAUCCCAAAUCUAAGGUUGGGUAUAUGAUCCCAAAGGGAGAUAAGCCAAUAAAAAGAAAAACAAAAACAAACAAACAAAAAAACUAAUGAGAGGUCCUGCAAAAGACAACAAAUUAAUACAAUUUACUUAGUUAAAGCAUGAUCAACCACCUGUCCCUAACAACAGAGUGGUUUUGGUGUGCUCAGUGAAACAGAUAGUCAAGACAGCACAGACAGCUGUGCAAACAACCCAGUGAUCACCAUGGAUUGCAAAAGCAUCCUAAAUUACUGGAGCAACCAGACAGUGACAGCAAAUCAGAAGGAAAUGACUUUAUAAUCAACAAUGUGUUCUUUAACCAGCUCUGUAACUAAGGACACUGCAGGGUACUGGGGUAACUGGGUGUUUCUGAAAAAAGACUAUGGGGAGGAAAGACCCACAACCAGGAUCCAGUUUCAUCCAUGCAACUUCUGGGGAACCCAGGGAGUAAACAGAGGCCAACUCAACCUCAUGACCCCUUGUCAGUGCACUAUACAGCGCAGCAGGAACCAUCACACUGACUCACACAAUCCAUCCAGGAUUACACCAUCACUUCCACAGGAUGAGGAACUUGUGAAAGAAACCACAAAUCCAACCCACACAGCUUCUAUCUCUGGCUGCACUAUGGCAUAGGAAUGUCAUGUAAAAUUGUAUAUAUUUGUGUAUUGAACAUAACUUGCAAGGUGUUUUUUUUUGUUUGUUUUUUUUUUUUUUUUUUUUUUUUUUUUUUUUUGUAUGGGCUGCAGUGAGCCCUCUGUGGAA
rnacentral:lncRNA from 1 species